rnacentral:rRNA from 1 species
UACGAAGGGGGCUAGCGUUGCUCGGAAUCACUGGGCGUAAAGCGCACGUAGGCGGAUUGCUAAGUCAGGGGUGAAAUCCUGGAGCUCAACUCCAGAACUGCCUUCGAUACUGGCGACCUUGAAUCCGGGAGAGGUGAGUGGAACUCCGAGUGUAGAGGUGAAAUUCGUAGAUAUUCGGAAGAACACCAGUGGCGAAGGCGGCUCACUGGCCCCGGUACUGACGCUGAGGUGCGAAAGCGUGGGGGAGCAAACAGG